rnacentral:rRNA from 1 species
AGGGCGUUUGGUGAAUGCCUUGGCAGUAAGAGGCGAUGAAGGACGUGAUACUCUGCGAUAAGUUAUGGGGAGCUGAGAAUAAGCUUUGAUCCAUAAAUUUCCGAAUGGGGCAACCCACCUGAUACUUUGUUAUUAAUACUACUUAUUGUAGUGCCGUUUAAGGGUUCGCCCUUGGGUAGCGUUGCAUGCGGUGGGGCAUAAUAAUAGGGUAAACCAGGUAUUUAUAACUUGAAUACAUAGGGUUAUAAAAGCAAACCCGGGGAACUGAAACAUCUAAGUACCCGGAGGAAAGGACAUCAAUUAGAUACUCCCCUAGUAGCGGCGAGCGAACGGGGACCAGCCGAGCCAUGAGUGUGACUAGAAUGUGUUGGAAAGCACAACCAAAGUGGGUGACAGUCCCGUAUAGGAAGCAUGAUUGGACGUAUUAAGUAGGGCGGGACACGUGAAAUCCUGUUCGAAGAUCGGAGGACCACCUCCGAAGGCUAAGUACUCCUUACUGACCGAUAGUGAACCAGUACCGUGAGGGAAAGGUGAAAAGCACCCCGACGAGGGGAGUGAAACAGUUUCUGAAACCGGACGCCUACAAUCAGUUGGAGGGCCCUUGCGGCCUGACAGCGUACCUUUUGUAUAAUGGGUCAUCGACUUAGUGUAUCUAGCAAGCUUAAGCCGUUAGGUGUAGGCGCAGCGAAAGCGAGUCUUAAUAGGGCGAAUGAGUUAGAUGGAUCAGACCCGAAACCGAGUGAUCUAGGCAUGACCAGGUUGAAGGUGAGGUAACACUUACUGGAGGGCCGAACCCACACCUGUUGAAAAAGGUCGGGAUGAGUUGUGCCUAGGGGUGAAAGGCCAAUCAAACUCGGAGAUAGCUGGUUCUCCGCGAAAUCUAUUUAGGUAGAGCGUCAUCCGAAUACCCCGGGGGGUAGAGCACUGGAUGGGUAAUGGGGCCCCACAGGCUUACUGAUCCUAACCAAACUCCGAAUACCCGGGAGUAAUAGAUGGCAGACACACUGCGGGUGCUAACGCCCGUAGUGAAAAGGGAAACAACCCUGACCGACAGUUAAGGCCCCUAAUUCAUGGCUAAGUGGGAAAGCAGGUGGGACGACCAAAACAACCAGGAAGUUGGCUUAGAAGCAGCCAUCUUUUAAAGAUAGCGUAACAGCUCACUGGUCUAAUUAAGUUGUCCUGCGGCGAAGAUGUAACGGGGCUCAAGCCAUGAGCCGAAACUUCGGAUGCAUUUAAUGCAUGGUAGCGGAGCGUAGUGUGACAUAGUUCCAUGCGUCCUUCGUUUUAUAGCGGACUGCCCAGGCUUUCGAGCCUGUGUGGAGGCGCGUAAAAUACUGGACGCAAGGAGCUUUCUGUGAAGCCGGCCUGUGAGGGAUCCGGUGGAGAGAUCACUAGUGAGAAUGAUGACAUGAGUAACGACAAAGGGGGUGAGAGACCCCCUCGCCGAAAAUCCAAGGGUUCCUGCUUAAAGCUAAUCUGAGCAGGGUAAGCCGGCCCCUAAGCCGAGGGCGAAAGCCGUAGGCGAUGGGAACCAGGUUAAUAUUCCUGGGCCAGGAGGAAGUGACGGAUCACAAAGAUUGUUGGAUCAGGCGUAGUUGCCCCAGCAGUUCAGUGGUUCCUGGAAAUAGCCCUCCAUCAGACCGUACCCUAAACCGACACAGGUGGAUAGGUAGAGUAUACCAAGGCGCUUGAGAGAACUAUGUUGAAGGAACUCGGCAAAAUACCUCCGUAAGUUCGCGAGAAGGAGGCCCGGUUUCUAGGCAACUGGAAGCUGGGGGCACAAACCAGGGGGUGGCGACUGUUUACUAAAAACACAGGGCUCUGCGAAGUCGCAAGACGACGUAUAGGGUCUGACGCCUGCCCGGUGCCUGAAGGUUAAAAGGAGGGGUGAGAGCUCCGAAUUGAAGCCCAGGUAAACGGCGGCCGUAACUAUAACGGUCCUAAGGUAGCGAAAUUCCUUGUCGGGUAAGUUCCGACCUGCACGAAUGGCGUAACGACUUCCCCGCUGUCUCCAACAUCGACUCAGCGAAAUUGAAUUGCCUGUCAAGAUGCAGGCUUCCCGCGGUUAGACGGAAAGACCCCGUGCACCUUUACUACAACUUUACACUGAUAACAGGCACAACAUGUGCAGAAUAGGUGGUAGGCUUUGAAGCAGAAACGCCAGUUUUUGUGGAGCCUCCUUUGAGAUACCACCCUUGUUUUGCUUGUUAUCUAACUGCGGUCCGUUAUCCGGAUCCAGGACCCUGUAUGGUGGGUAGUUUGACUGGGGCGGUCGCCUCCUAAAGCGUAACGGAGGCGCGCGAAGGUUGGCUCAGAGCGGUCGGAAAUCGCUCGUUGA